CUCCCCUGUUUAAAAAAUGGGUGUCUCUGUGCUAAGUCUGGGUAAUAUCAAUAAAAUUUUGUUGUCAUAUUGACAACUAAUUAAUGUAUCAAUUUGAAGUAAUGAAUGGCAAUUUAACAUCAUGACAGAAUUAAGGUGAAGGUACACUAGAAGAGAAAUGAUGACCCAAGAGAAGGAAUGAGAGGCAACGCAUGAGAAACAUGUUAUUCAGCCACAACAGCUGAAACCCACAGGAUGUUCUUUGAUACAAGAGAAGAUAGAGUUGCUUGGUGCUUAAGAAAGUGGUUUGCAGAAUCAGACGCCAGAAUUUGGUCCCUACUCUACCAGCUCCUCAUGAGUAACCUCAAGCAAGUCAUGCCACCUGUCUUGAUCUCAGUUCCCCAUUAUAAAAAUUAGAAUAAUAAA